CCCUUAGAUGUUCUGGGCGGCCCGCGCACUACAAUGGCGCUUUCAGCGAGUUCCUAUGUUGAAUUUUCCUUGGUAUUCUUGGAAGCGGCGUCUUGACUUGGGAUAGAUCCUUGUAAUUGUUGGUUUUGAACGAGGAAUUCCUUGUAAUCGCGGUUGAUCAGCUCGCGUUGAAUACGUCCCUGCCCUUUGUACACACCGCCCGUCGCUCCUACCGAUGAAUCGUCCGGUGAAGUUCACAGAGUGGCGGUUCGUGGAGUUGCUCGCGAAGUGAAAUGGACCUCACGAUUUAGAGGAAGGAGAAGUCAUAACA
rnacentral:rRNA from 1 species